CCUACGGGAGGCAGCAGUGGGGAAUUUUGGACAAUGGGCGCAAGCCUGAUCCAGCAAUGCCGCGUGAGUGAAGAAGGCCUUCGGGUUGUAAAGCUCUUUUGUCAGGGAAGAAACGGUGGGGGCUAAUAUCUCCCACUAAUGACGGUACCUGAAGAAUAAGCACCGGCUAACUACGUGCCAGCAGCCGCGGUAAUACGUAGGGUGCAAGCGUUAAUCGGAAUUACUGGGCGUAAAGCGUGCGCAGGCGGUUUUGUAAGUUUGUCGUGAAAUCCCCGGGCUCAACCUGGGAAUGGCGAUGAAGACUGCAAGGCUAGAAUCUGGCAGAGGGGGGUAGAAUUCCACGUGUAGCAGUGAAAUGCGUAGAGAUGUGGAGGAACACCGAUGGCGAAGGCAGCCCCCUGGGUCAAGAUUGACGCUCAUGCACGAAAGCGUGGGGAGCAAACAGGAUUAGAUACCCUGGUAGUCCACGCCCUAAACGAUGUCUACUAGUUGUCGGGUUUUAAUUAACUUGGUAACGCAGCUAACGCGUGAAGUAGACCGCCUGGGGAGUACGGUCGCAAGAUUAAAACUCAAAUGAAUUGACCGGNUGAGACGNGCGACGACGACGACGAGGGAGGAGG
rnacentral:rRNA from 1 species